rnacentral:rRNA from 2 species
CAGCAGCCGCGGUAAUACGUAUGUUCCAAGCGUUAUCCGGAUUUAUUGGGCGCAAAGCGAGCGCAGACGGUUAUUUAAGUCUGAAGUGAAAGCCCUCGGCUUAACCGAGGAAUUGCUUUGGAAACUGGAUAACUUGAGUGCAGUAGAGGAAAGUGGAACUCCAUGUGUAGCGGUGAAAUGCGUAGAUAUAUGGAAGAACACCAGUGGCGAAGGCGGCUUUCUGGACUGUAACUGACGCUGAGGCUCGAAAGUAUGGGUAGCAAACAGGAUUAGAUACCCUGGUAGUCCAUACCGUAAACGAUGAAUGCUAAGUGUUGGAGGGUUUCCGCCCUUCAGUGCUGCAGCUAACGCAUUAAGCAUUCCGCCUGGGGAGUACGGCCGCAAGGCUGAAACUCAAAGGAAUUGACGGGGGCCCGCACAAGCGGUGGAGCAUGUGGUUUAAUUCGAAGCUACGCGAAGAACCUUACCAGGUCUUGACAUACUAUGCAAAUCUAAGAGAUUAGACGUUCCCUUCGGGGACAUGGAUACAGGUGGUGCAUGGUUGUCGUCAGCUCGUGUCGUGAGAUGUUGGGUUAAGUCCCGCAACGAGCGCAACCCUUAUUAUCAGUUGCCAGCAUUAAGUUGGGCACUCUGGUGAGACUGCCGGUGACAAACCGGAGGAAGGCGGGGAUGACGUCAAAUCAUCAUGCCCCUUAUGACCUGGGCUACACACGUGCUACAAUGGCAAGUACAACGAGCAGCCAACCCGCGAGGGUGCGCAAAUCUCUUAAAGCCUGUCUCAGUUCGGACUGUAGGCUGCAACUCGCCUACACGAAGUCGGAAUCGCUAGUAAUCGCGGAUCAGCACGCCGCGGUGAAUACGUUCCCGGGCCUUGUACACACCGCCCGUCACACCAUGAGAGUUUGUAACACCCAAAGUCGGUGAGGUAACCUUUAUAGGGGCCAGCCGCCUAAGGUGGGACAGAUGAUUAGGGUGAAGUCGUA